rnacentral:rRNA from 1 species
CCUACGGCGGCAGCAGUGGGGAAUAUUGGACAAUGGGCGAAAGCCUGAUCCAGCCAUGCCGCGUGUGUGAAGAAGGCCUUCGGGUUGUAAAGCACUUUCAGUGGGGAAGAAAGCCUUGGGGCUAAUACCCUCGAGGAAGGACAUCACCCACAGAAGAAGCACCGGCUAACUCCGUGCCAGCAGCCGCGGUAAUACGGAGGGUGCGAGCGUUAAUCGGAAUUACUGGGCGUAAAGCGCGCGUAGGCGGUCUGAUAAGCCGGUUGUGAAAGCCCCGGGCUCAACCUGGGAACGGCAUCCGGAACUGUCAGGCUAGAGUUCAGGAGAGGAAGGUAGAAUUCCCGGUGUAGCGGUGAAAUGCGUAGAGAUCGGGAGGAAUACCAGUGGCGAAGGCGGCCUUCUGGACUGACACUGACGCUGAGGUGCGAAAGCGUGGGUAGCAAACAGGAUUAGAUACCCGAGUAGUC